AGCUGUGGCCCACCCUCUGCUAUGACUUAAAGCUAAGCAGGUUCGGGCCUGGGCAGUACUUGGAUGGGAGAUCUCUAAUGAAAUGUUGGUGCCUCAGCUG
ensembl:rRNA 5S_rRNA 5S ribosomal RNA